ACACGUGAUUGACUUUACUCCACUGGAGCUUGGCUAGGACUUGAGAUAUGAGGAGCGACCGGUGCGGAUUCUUGCUCGUGAGACGAAGAAAUUGUGCAAUCGGGUCAUACCUUAUGUAAAAGUGUAGUGGAGUCAUCAAGAGGAGCGUGAGACGACAUAGGAGCCGGAGGCGGUAAUAAGGGAGUUCUAUCUCUUCUUGUUCGAGACUCAGGUUUGAGGUAUAUUUUUAGUUUUGAGGAAGAAAUUUUUUUUAAGGAGGGAAGGUUGUGAUAUACUGAACCUUAGCAAAUUGGCAAGGUUACAGUAUAAGUUUAUGCUUGAUUGAGUUGGAGACGGUUUGCGCAAAAUAGACAUAAAAACGGACUUUAAAACUCAAUAUAUAUAUUGUAAAGGACUAAAGUUGAAUACUUAGUUAUAGAGGAGCUUGUUGGCAAUUUUGAUUUAUUUAAG
rnacentral:lncRNA from 1 species